ensembl:lncRNA
AUGGCCCAGCUGAAUAGGACUCUCUCCAACUUCCCUGGGGAGGAGCCAGACCCAGGAGGACCCCUCCAUCUCUCCCAGGAUGGGGUCUGGGGCGGCGGCCUUCCCCACCCAUGCUACAAGCCCGUACCCCUCACCAGCACUUCGGUCCGCAGUGCCCACGGCUGGCGAGAGGCCCUCUCCACGGUGCGGCAGCCUGUGGGACGGGGCAAAAGACCGCGUACCCACGGCGCGGCAGCCUGUGGCGCGUAUCCACGGUGCAGCAGCCCGUGGGACGGGGCAAAAGGCCGCGUAAGGUGGGCCAGGGUGGCUCCCCCGUGCCACCAGGGCCCUGUCCCCUCUCUGGACCAGGUCCACCUGCCUCCCAGGCCAGGGCGGUGUGGGGCGGGGGCCCGACCAGUCCUUCCUGGAGCGCUGAGAAGAGUGGUGAGGCCCUGUGCCGGGGGCUCCCUCCUGCCUCCCCCCUCUCCCCGGAGCCAGGGGCUGCAUUGGGGCUCCUGGCUGGACCCCCAGGUUCCAGGUAUCGCCAUCCCUCAGCCCAGGUGCCACGGGGACGCUCCUGUGGAUUCCCAGAGUCCUCACAGAAGGCUGGCAAGCAGCACGGAGAUGAGCCAGGCUGCAGGCACUUCCAGGCGUCAAGGCCAAGGACAAAUGUCAAAGUGUGGUCUACCAAAUGGGUGUAGAAUGAAAACAGACCCAGAAACAUCCCUGAAAAAAGCUCAAAUACUUGGAAACUCAGUAACACACUUCUGAGUGACCUUGGGUCCAAGAGGAAAUCAAAAGAGAAUUAGCAUUUUGAACUAAGAAUGAAAGCAGUGCUUACAGGGAAAUUCGCAGCGCUGACGGCUAUACCAGCAAAGAAGACAGGCUUGAGAAUCCAUGACAGUUUCCACGCUAAGAAACUUGACAAAGUAGAGCAAACUAAACAUAAACUAAGUGAAGGAGACAAAAAGAUC